UGUUAUUUAUCUGAAUCACUUGAAGGGUUCCAGCCAUGGCUGCUCACCAAGACCCGACUACCAAUUCCUUUGUAAUAACCAGAAUAACGUUGUACCGAUCAGAGCUUCUACCGAUAUUCCCCUUCUUAGACUACUUCAGCCUCGCCAAGUCGAAAAUCACCCUCUGAGCUCGAGCCUGCGGACCUCGGUUUCUACAGGAUAGGGUAUGUUAGGAGUGUUUGAGCUUACGGUGUUCGAGCUUCCGGGUUGAAUUCAUGGAAGGACCUGACGAGUUCGGAGUGUUUGCCUCUAAAAUGUCAAAUCACUUUGCCGAGCUAGGAACAGAACGAGCUCGAGCAGAAGAAGGGAUGAAGAGAAAGGUUUUUUCUUCUCGGCAAACCCUCAAGCAAGAGCACAAGCAGAAGAAGAAGCAGAGAAACCCUCAAGCACAAGCAGCAGCAGGAGCAGAAGAACUUCGGAUCGAAACCCUCAAGCAUGAACACGAGCAGAGGAAGAAAAUCAGGAUUUCAACGAUGGAGUGGGUUGGGAUGGGGUUUUGAAUGAAGCAAGGGUUUGGUUUCCUCCUUAAACCAGAAAUCGGGUUGUAAAGAAAACCAAGAUUUCAAACCCUUUUUUUCAAUCCA